GGGGAAUUUUCCGCAAUGGGGGCAACCCUGACGGAGCAAUACCGCGUGGGGGAGGAAGGCCCUUGGGUUGUAAACCCCUUUUCUCAGGGAAGAAUAACUGACGGUACCUGAGGAAUCAGCCUCGGCUAACUCCGUGCCAGCAGCCGCGGUAAGACGGAGGAGGCAAGCGUUAUCCGGAAUCAUUGGGCGUAAAGCGUCCGUAGGUGGUCCUUCAAGUCUGCUGUCAAAGCCCAGGGCUCAACCCUGGAGAGGCAGUGGAAACUGAAGGACUUAGAGUGCGGUAGGGGUAGAGGGAAUUCCCGGUGUAGCGGUGAAAUGCGUAGAGAUCGGGAAGAACACCAGUGGCGUAAGCGCUCUACUGGACCGCAACUGACACUGAGGGACGAAAGCUAGGGGAGCGAAUGGGAUUAGAUACCCCAGUAGUC
rnacentral:rRNA from 1 species